rnacentral:lncRNA from 1 species
CAACAACAACAAGAUUUCGAAAAAAAACCCAAAAAACCAAAUAGCAAACAUCAAACAUUUUUUAGAAAUCCCAGAGAUUAAGAACAUCAAAUUUCCGAAAAAGCCAGCAAACCAUAACACAAAAAAAAAAUGAAACAGAUUUGCCAUUUAAUCAUCAGAUGAAACAGACAAAGAAGAAAAGUUGAGGAAGGAAACUUAUCCGGAACUGUGACGGGUUGCCGGCGACGGACUCGGAUCAAAGCACUCUUCUCCGCCUGAAAUCUCCUUUCCAUCUCCUUUGCCGUGGUAAGUGAAACAAAAUCCCCAUUAUUUCUCUUAAAUCGCCUCAUGCAAGAACAUAGAUUUUGCAGUAAGGGUUUAGAGAUCUAGAAGGUUCGAGCAUGGUUUAGGAAAUUUUGGGUUCAGAUUCGACCUCAGAAGGUCGUGUUUAGUAAGCUAGAUGGUGUUUUGGGGUAGGGUGACCGGAGAAGGAAAGAGGCGUCGCCUUCGGCCGUCUUCUCCGGGAGAAUUUUUUUUAGGGUUUACAGACCCCUUUUUGCGAACGGUUGAAACUAAAGAGAGAGAAAGAAUGGGUAAAAUGCUGAUGUGUUUCCCAAGUUUUCAUUUGUUAAUAACCGUGUUUGGUUUGGUGAGGUGGCGGUGACAAGUGUCACCAACCCUGGACACUUGUCACCGUUUAAAAGAUGAAGCCUCCCGCGUC